rnacentral:misc_RNA from 1 species
GAACGCACCUUGCACCCCUUGGUAUUCCGAGGGGUAUGCCUGUUUGAGUGUCAUUAAAUUCUCAACUCUUUAAAUUGUUGUAAUGACGAUUUGGAGACGUUGGAUGUGGAGGCUUUUGCUGGCUUUUCAUUAAGUCAGCUCCUCUUAAAUGCAUUAGUGGUUACUGUUCUUUUCCACUUUGGUGUGAUAGUCUAUCUACGCCUAUAAGUGAAAGAUGUUAAGUGUAGCUGCUUUCAAACCGUCUGGACUUUACUGGACAAUUUUGAACUGUUUGACCUCAAAUCAGGUAGGAUUACCCGCUGAACUUAAG